UACGUAGGGGGCAAGCGUUGUCCGGAAUUAUUGGGCGUAAAGAGCGCGUAGGCGGUUCCGUAAGUCAGGUGUGAAACCUCCAGGCUCAACCUGGAGACGCCACCUGAUACUGCGGUGACUGGAGUCCGGUAGGGGAGCGUGGAAUUCCUGGUGUAGCGGUGAAAUGCGCAGAUAUCAGGAGGAACACCGAUGGCGAAGGCAGGUCUCUGGGCCGAUACUGACGCUGAGGAGCGAAAGCGUGGGGAGCGAACAGG
rnacentral:rRNA from 1 species